UACGAAGGGUGCAACCGUUGCUCGGAAUUAUUGGGCGUAAAGCGCACGUAGGCGGCAUUGCAAGUCGAAUGUGAAAUCCCUCGGCUUAACCAAGGAAGUGCAUCCGAAACUGCAGUGCUUGAGUACUUAAGAGGAUCGCGGAAUUCUCGGUGUAGAGGUGAAAUUCGUAGAUAUUCGGAAGAACACCAGUGGCGAAGGCGACUAACUGGACAAGUACUGACGCUGAGGUACGAAAGCGUGGGGAGCAAACAGG
rnacentral:rRNA from 1 species